AGAAAAGAAGGGAAAAUAUGACUAGUAAUAGAAGGGGGUGCAAAUUCAAAACAGCAUUCGAUACUUUAUUGCAAGAGCAACCAAAUGCUUCAUUAGCAGAACCUUCUUGCAAUAAGGGCAACAAUGAUAUAUGGGAUAUUGAUUCAGAUCAUGAAACUCAUUCCAAAAGGAGCAAUUUUGAUGACAAGAGGAAGAAGGAGAAGGCAGAGAAUGUUCUACACUUGAUUUGUUGGGGAACUUGUUGGUCCUAGAUCAUAGAGCAUUAUGAUGUUGUUCGAUUUAUGUAGCCAAUAAUAUCGAGAUAAAGGGAAGAUGAAAUGUUCCCCAUCCCUAUGUCUGUUGUAAUAUGCAAGUAAGGAAGACUCGUUUGGAGUCUAGCUCACUUGUUAAUAUAAAAAUAAUGAAGCAAAUAAUUCGAAGUAUUUCACUCCCUAGUCCAUAUCUCCUUAGUCC
rnacentral:lncRNA from 1 species